rnacentral:rRNA from 1 species
GAUGAACGCUAGCGGCAGGCUUAAUACAUGCAAGUCGAGGGGCAGCAUGACUGUAGCAAUACAGUUGAUGGCGACCGGCAAACGGGUGCGGAACACGUACAGAACCUUCCUUCGAGCGGGGAAUAGCCCAGAGAAAUUUGGAUUAAUACCCCAUAGUACAACGGAGUGGCAUCACUUUGUUGUUAAAGAUUUAUCACUUGAAGAUGGCUGUGCGGCUGAUUAGGUAGUUGGCGGGGUAACGGCCCACCAAGCCUGCGAUCAGUAACUGGUGUGAGAGCACGACCAGUCACACGGGCACUGAGACACGGGCCCGACUCCUACGGGAGGCAGCAGUAAGGAAUAUUGGUCAAUGGACGAAAGUCUGAACCAGCCAUGCCGCGUGGAGGAUGAAGGUCCUCUGGAUUGUAAACUUCUUUUAUAUGGGACGAAAAAAGGGUUUUCUAACUCGUCUGACGGUACCAUAUGAAUAAGCACCGGCUAACUCCGUGCCAGCCGCCGCAGUAAUAC